rnacentral:rRNA from 1 species
AGAAUCAACGCUGGCGGCGUGCCUAACACAUGCAAGUCGCACGAGAAAGUGGAGCAAUCCACGAGUAAAGUGGCGCACGGGUGAGUAACACGUGAAUAAUCUACCUCCGAGUGGGGAAUAACUGAGAGAAAUCUUAGCUAAUACCGCAUAAUACCCACGGGUCAAAGCAGCAAUGCGCUUGGAGAGGAGUUCGCGGCCGAUUAGCUAGUUGGCGGGGUAAUGGCCUACCAAGGCGACGACGGGUA